AUUGAACGCUGGCGGCAGGCCUAACACAUGCAAGUCGAGCGGUAGAGAGAAGCUUGCUUCUCUUGAGAGCGGCGGACGGGUGAGUAAUGCCUAGGAAUCUGCCUGGUAGUGGGGGAUAACGCUCGGAAACGGACGCUAAUACCGCAUACGUCCUACGGGAGAAAGCAGGGGAUCUUCGGACCUCGCGCUAGAGGAGGAGCCCAUGUCCGAUUAGCUAGUUGGUGAGGUAACGGCCCACCAAGGCGACGAUCGGUAACCGGCCUGAGAGGGCGGACGGUCACACUGGGACUGAGACACGGCCCAGACUCCUACGGGAGGCAGCAGUGGGGAAUAUUGGACAAUGGGCGAAAGCCUGAUCCAGCAAUGCCGCGUGAGUGAAGAAGGCCUUCGGGUUGUAAAGCUCUUUUGUCAGGGAAGAAACGGUGAGGGCUAAUAUCCCUUGCUAAUGACGGUACCUGAAGAAUAAGCACCGGCUAACUACGUG
rnacentral:rRNA from 1 species